rnacentral:rRNA from 1 species
UGGGGAAUAUUGCACAAUGGGCGCAAGCCUGAUGCAGCGACGCCGCGUGGGGGAUGACGGCCUUCGGGUUGUAAACCUCUUUCAGCAGGGACGAAGCGAAAGUGACGGUACCUGCAGAAGAAGCACCGGCCAACUACGUGCCAGCAGCCGCGGUAAUACGUAGGGUGCGAGCGUUGUCCGGAAUUACUGGGCGUAAAGAGCUCGUAGGUGGUUUGUCGCGUUGUUCGUGAAAACCGGGGGCUUAACCCUCGGCGUGCGGGCGAUACGGGCAGACUAGAGUACUGCAGGGGAGACUGGAAUUCCUGGUGUAGCGGUGGAAUGCGCGGAUAUCAGGAGGAACACCGGUGGCGAAGGCGGGUCUCUGGGCAGUAACUGACGCUGAGGAGCGAAAGCGUGGGGAGCGAACAGGAUUAGAUACCCUGGUAGUCCACGCCGUAAACGGUGGGUACUAGGUGUGGGUUUCCUUCCUUGGGAUCCGUGCCGUAGCUAACGCAUUAAGUACCCCGCCUGGGGAGUACGGCCGCAAGGCUAAAACUCAAAUGAAUUGACGGGGGUCAUAGCUG